rnacentral:rRNA from 1 species
UCCCUAUGGGGUGCACCAGGCGCGAAAACUCCGCAAUGCGCGAAAGCGUGAUAAGGGAACUCCGAGUGCCCGUAAAAUCGGGCUGUCCACCAGUUUAAAUAACUGGUGAAGAAAGGGCCGGGCAAGACCGGUGCCAGCCGCCGCGGUAAUACA